UACGUAGGGUCCGAGCGUUGUCCGGAAUUACUGGGCGUAAAGCGCGCGCAGGCGGCCCGCGAGGUGUCACGUGAAAGCCCCCGGCUCAACUGGGGAGGGUCACCGGUAACGGCCGAGCUACGAGUGCAGGAGAGGGAAGUGGAACUCCGGGAGUAGCGGUGAAAUGCGUAGAGACCCGGAGGAACACCAGUGGCGAAGGCGGCUUCCUGGUCUGCAACUGACGCUGUGGCGCGAAAGCUAGGGGAGCAAACGGG
rnacentral:rRNA from 1 species